rnacentral:rRNA from 1 species
UGGACAGGUAGAGAAUACUAAGGUGAGCGAGAUAACCCUCGUUAAGGAACUCGGCAAAAUGGCCCCGUAACUUCGGGAGAAGGGGCGCCCCGGUAAGGUGAAGCGACGGUUCGCCGCUCGCGGAGCCCGAGGGGGCCGCAGUGAAUUGACCCAACCGACUGUUUACCAAAAACACAGGUCUCUGCUAAGUCGCAAGACGACGUAUAGGGGCUGACGCCUGCCCGGUGCCGGAAGGUUACGUGGAGGGGUUAGCACUUCGGUGCGAAGCUCUGAAACUAAGCCCCGGUAAACGGCGGCGGUAACUAUAACCGUCCUAAGGUAGCGAAAUUCCUUGUCGGGUAAGUUCCGACCUGCACGAAUGGAGUAACGACUUCCGCGCUGUCUCAACGAGGGGCUCGGUGAAAUUAAAGUCUCGGUGAAGAUGCCGAGUACCCGCGGCUAGACGGAAAGACCCCGUGAACCUUUACUACAGCUUGAUAUUGGAGUCUGAGGCACCUCGCUCAGGAUAGGUGGGAGGCUGUGAAGCAGGGACUGCGGUCCCCGUGGAGCCACCCUUGAGAUACCACCCUUGGUGUCUCGGGCUUCUAACACCACGCCGUGAAUCCGGGUGGUGAACAGUGUCAGGCGGGUAGUUUGACUGGGGCGGUCGCCUCCCAAAAUGUAACGGAGGCGCGCAAAGGUUCCCUCAGUACGGUUGGAAAUCGUGCGUAGAGUGCAAAAGCAACAAGGGAGCUUGACUGCGAGACAGACAUGUGGGGAUAACAGGCUUAUCGGGCCCAAGAGUCCACAUCGACGGCCCGGUUUGGCACCUCGAUGUCGGCUCGUCGCAUCCUGGGGCUGAAGUAGGUCCCAAGGGUUGGGCUGUUCGCCCAUUAAAGCGGCACGCGAGCUGGGUUCAGAACGUCGUGAGACAGUUCGGUCCCUAUCUGCCGUGGGCGUUGGAGAGUUGAGGGGAGUCGUCCCUAGUACGAGAGGACCGGGAUGAACGCACCUCUGGUGUACCAGUUGUCCUGCCAAGGGCACUGCUGGUUAGCUACGUGCGGAUCGGAUAACCGCUGAAGGCAUCUAAGCGGGAAGCCGACCUCGAGAUGAGCUCUCCCAUCCCCUAGAGGGAGUAAGACCCCUGGAAGACCACCAGGUGAUAGGCCGGAUGUGUAAGCACAGUGAUGUGCUCAGCAGACCGGUACUAAUGCUUCGAGGGCUUGACGG